AUGUCUCAGUUCAACUACUGCCCAUCUGCCGACGACAUCCACGAGGCCGGUAACAAGGCUCCCAUGAACGAUUCCCUCGAAGAUAGCAUCCACGAGGACGCCGGCAACAACGCUCCCAUGAACGAUUCCCUCGACGACACGAAGGCUCUCAUGAAGGCGGCCGUCGCCGGAGACCUCGAUUCCCUCAAAGAUAUUGUACAGAGCCUUACCAAAGGAAGUGGUGACCCAUCGGCGAUUUUUUCUUUCAACAUCGACGGAGUUUCUGUGUUGCACGCCGCGGCAAUGUUUGCCCAACUGGAGGUUAGCAAGUAUUUGGUGGAGGAGCUGAAGGGAGAUGUGAAUGCUCCGGGAUAUGGAGCUGGUGCUGAUGGUAUGACUCCAUUUAUAGUGUCUGCUCGGUCCGGUGAUGUUGCUACUGUUAAGUAUUUUCUUGAUCGUGGUGGCGAUUUAAUGAAAGCAGAUGACAAAGGACGCACCGUUCUUCACCAUGCUGCCGCUAAAGGACACUGCAUGGUAACAAAGUUUCUCCUCUCAGAAGGAGUUCCAGUCGACAUCAACUAUGGUCGUGGAACACCACUCUUUGUGGCUGCUGAAAGUGGGGAGGAUAAGACAUUGGAGAUUUUGUUGGACCACGGCGCAGAUCCUAAUACCAAUGCCCAUUGUUUGGGAAGUCCCUUCUUUAUGGCUCUUACUAAGCAUUCAUUCAAAUGCAUGGAGACACUCGUUAAGGCUGGUGCCGAUGUUAAUUGGAAGACUUUCGGUCUCACUCCUUUGGGGUUUGCUACGGCGCGAGGAGGUUAUACCAACUUCAUUCGGUUCCUCUUGGAUGUUGGAGCAGAUGCUAAUAUUUCUGAUGAUUUGGGUUGGUUGCCAGUACAGCUUGCUGCGGCACGUGAUUGCAAUGAAGAGGUUGAAAUGUUGUUUCCUUUGACUUCCCCAAUUCCAAAUGUCCCAAACUGGACUAUUGAGGGUGUAAUUUCUCAUGCAAAGAUUGAAGCCAAAAAGCCACUGGACCAAAAGGCUUGCCAAAGAAGAAAAAGUUUCUUAAAGUUAGAAGCUGAUAUAGCAUUCAAGCAGAAGGACUAUAAGCUGGCAUCAGAGUUGUAUGACAUGGCAAUAAGUCAUGGAGAAAGUGCAGCACUGUACGCGAACAGGAGUCUUACUAAACUGCUAAUGGGUGAUGGUGAAGGUGCUUUGUCAGAUGCUCUCUGGUGUAGAGUGUUGCGACCUCAUUGGGCAAAAGCUUUCUAUCGUGAAGGUGCAGCUCUCAUGCUACUCGAGGAGUAUGAACAAGCCUAUGAUGCUCUGUUGGAUGCACAAAACUUGGAUCCUGAGAGUGCUGAGAUUGAACGUGAACUACGGAAAGCUAGGGAACUCAUGAAGAAUAUUCCUGGAGAACGUGAGCAUGUGUGA
rnacentral:rRNA from 1 species